GAUGAAGAACGUAGUGAAAUGCGAUACUUGGUGUGAAUUGCAGAAUCCCGUGAACCAUCGAGUCUUUGAACGCAAGUUGCGCCUCAAGCCAUUAGGUUGAGGGCACGUCUGCCUGGACGUCACAUAUCGUUGCCUGAUGCCAGUUUCCUCGUGAUGGGUGACUGUGCAGGGCGAAUGAUGGCUUCCCGUGAGCAUUGUUGCCUCAUGGUUGGUUGAAAAUUGAGUCCUUGGUAGGGAGCGCCGUGAUAGAUGGUGGUUGAGUGACGAACGAGACCCAAUCAUGUGAGACCCCUACCGAAUUUGGCCUUCAUGACCCACAUGCGUCUUUGGAACGCUCAUGACGAGACCUCAGGUCAGGCGGGGCUACCCGCUGAGUUUAAGCAUAUCAAUAAGCGGAGGA
rnacentral:misc_RNA from 1 species